rnacentral:rRNA from 1 species
AGGGUUCGAUUCUGGCUCAGGACGAACGCUGGCGGCGUGCUUCAUACAUGCAAGUCGAACGAGAAGCUGACUUCGGUCAGUGGAAAGUGGCGGACGGGUGAGUAAUAUGUAGAGAAUCUGCCCUUGAGUGGGGGACAACAGAGGGAAACUUCUGCUAAUACCCCAUAUGAGCUAACUUGAAAUAGUUAUCUUGAAAACUCCGGUGCUCAAGGAUGAGUCUGCAUCUGAUUAGCUAGUUGGCGGUGUAAUGGACCACCAAGGCGACGAUCAGUAGCUGGUUUGAGAGGAUGAUCAGCCACAAUGGGACUGAGACACGGCCCAUACUCCUACGGGAGGCAGCAGUAGGGAAUUUUGCGCAAUGGGCGAAAGCCCUGACGCAGCAACGCCGCGUGAACGAUUAAGCCCUUCGGGGUGUAAAGUUCUGUCAGUAGGGACGAAUUUUGACGGUACCUACAGAGGAAGCACCGGCUAACUCCGUGCCAGCCGCCGC